UCAUACCUAAAGUUGAUCUUUAGACCACUUCAGUUCUCAACCCGCCUUAAGCCCUCACGCCUCUUCUACCCUCACACCUCUUCUACCGUCACGCCUCUUCCACCCUCGCAAAAGACAGAGGCUAGCUCUUCCACCCUUUUCCACCAUCGCGGAAGACAGAGACUCUUUCACCUUCUUCCAGCAGUAAAGGCCGAAUAACCUAAUCGUUCCAACAACCACUCUUAAUCAUGAGGGUUUCGAAAUUGCAAAAGGCCUAACAAUCGAAGGGGUAAAUUACAAAUCUGGAGUCAGCUUAUGGUCUGAGUCUGAAUCGCUGUGGGAAAUACAGUCAUUUUGGAAUAAAUCAGCUUUCUGGUGAAACCCCUUCCCAGCUUUUUAGCUUAAACAUGGAGCUAAUGCACUUGGUCAUUAUUUUGGUUCAUGUGGAAUGGGUGUCUUCGUAUCAGAUUGGUUCUGUUGUUCUGCUUCUGUUGGCAUCUGUUCUUGGAUGCAAUGAAAGAAAAGGCUGCACAAAAUUCUCAAAAUUCAGAUGAUACGAGUCCAACCAUAAAUGAUGUUGAGAUAGUGUAAAACCAACUAUGCAUAAGGAAGGGAUUUCGAAAUUUGGAAACCAUUUUGAGGGUUUUGCACAAACUUGAGGUUACGGCAAGGGGUUGGCGGAUGAUAAUCCACCUCAUGCUUGAGAGCACUAAGGAAGUAUUUUGGAUGUAUUUUUGUAGAGCUUGAACUUAUUUUGUAAAGAUGUUGACUUAGGAUGUAUUACUUUUGCAACAUGUAAAAUAUUUGGAUUUUAGCAUGUACAUGGCCGGUGGGGUAAUGUAAUUAAGUUUUACCAUCAUUUAAUCCUUUAGUGUAUUUUGGUAACGUGUGGUAAAUUAUGUUAACAUUGUAGUUGUUGUUAUUGUGGAUGUUGAAAUGUAUUUACGUAUGUACGUGAGUGUAGUGGUGUGGGUGAUUGGCUUUCAAAGUUGGUGGAAGUCGGUGAGUGUGAGUGAGGAUGACCCAAACCAGUUGACGUAAAAUUCCAUACGUCGAUCGAGUUGUGUGAACCAGUCGAAAUAUAGCUUGCCACACGUCGACCGGUAUCCUGACAGUAAGUUUUUCACUGUGCACGUUCCAAACCAGUCGACGUGUAACUUCCCACACAUCAACCGGUAUCUCGGCAGUGGGUUUGUCCUCUGUUCAUAACCCAAACCAGCUGACGUAAAGCGUAUAUACGUCGACCGGUUCUUGUUCUACGUAUAAUUUUUUUUAUUUAGCUUUCCUAAUUACUCUCUAGCACCAAAUUAAUGUUGCGAAUAAUUAUUUUAUGACCCAAUAAAAUGCAUUAAUUAUAUUUUUACCACCGAAAAGACUAUAUUGUCCCGAACCUUAUUUUAUUACGUGAAACAAGUAAUGACUAUUAUACCCUUUGAAUCUCAAACUACUUGAAUUGUAGCAAAUUACCAUAUUGCCCUUUUUGGACCAAGAUAAUUGAAUUUAACAUGAAAGAACCGUAUUACCAUUGGACGAUUCUGGGUCGGGUAAGGACCCGUUUAAUGAUCUGGAUCCAUAAGGAUUUGGGUCGUUAUAGUUUAGUGUACUUGUGAGCAUGUAUAUUAUAUGUUGUUGUUCAUUUUAAUUGCAUGAGUAGCUUAGGAUGAUCCCUAAGUCUCACUUUGACAUAGACGUUAGGUGGCAUGAGCCCCGUUAAUAUGUUUCAACUUAAGGUGAUGUAAUUGUAAAAUGCUAGGUCCAUGCAUGCUCAUCUCCUACGAGUAGCUUUAUGUUACUCACCCGCGUAGUGGGGAUAUU